AGAGAGUAUAUCAGAACAGCAGGACUGCGGUCAACAAUUGCACGGGCCAUGGCAUCUCUGGCUGAAAUCAGUGUGGGUGCCUUUGUGCUGGAUCCCAUGUGUGGGCUAGGAACGGUACUGCUGGAAGCUGCCAAAGAGUGGCCUGAAGCCUGUUACUGGGGUGCUGAUAUAAGCGAUUCACAGUUAGAGGGUGCAGAUGUGAAUAUUAGGA